rnacentral:lncRNA from 1 species
UGGCCACAGGCCGGGGCGAGGGGCCACAGGCGGGGCGAGUGGCCACAGGCGGGAGCUAGUGGCCACAAGGCGGGGCUAGUGGCACAGCGGGGCUAGUGGCCACAGACGGGGCUAUGGCCACAGCGGAGGCUAAGUGGCCACAGGCCGGGGCUAGUGGGAGGGAAGGGAAAGUGGUCACAGGGCAGAGCUAGCCAGUGGAGUUGAGGGAAAGUGUCACAGGCAGGGCUAGGCUAGUGGGACGGGAGGGAAAGUGGUCACAGGCAGGGCGAGUGGGAGGGAAAGUGGUCACAGGCAAGGCUAUGUGGGAGGGAGGAAAAGUGGUCACAGGCAGGGCUAGGCUAGUGGGAAGGAAGGGAAAGUGGGUCACAGAGGCAGGGCUAUGCUAGUGGGGAAGGAAGGAAGUGGUCACAGCAUAGCUAGGCGAGUGGUAGGGGAGGGAAAGUGUCACAGGCAGAGCUAGGCUAGUG